rnacentral:lncRNA from 1 species
AAUGUUUUCCCAUUGUAGAGGUUGGCAUCAUCAAGAAAGGAAGAGGCAAAACAACCAUAAGACAGACGAACCAAUGGGGCAUAACGAGGCAUCCAUUGGUAAGGUGACAAAGGAUGAGAGCCUUGCUGCCAAAACACGGAUGGAUCGAUAAAUAUUUUACAAUAAGAAAAUGAUAUUAGAUCUUUGGUUCAAAAGGGUGACCUAGAGAAUCCCAUGGUUAGUAGCUGAGGAAUAUCUUAGCUCACCUUCGUUGACUAUUGUUAUCAACAAACAUCUCGUUCAAACUUCUUCAGUACACCAUCCUCAUAGUAGCAAAGACAAGGACAAUUGCGACCUCCUCAACAUGAGAACUUCAAUAGAAGACAAACAAGGAAACCAG